CCUACGGGUGGCAGCAGUGAGGAAUAUUGGUCAAUGGGCUUACGCCUGCACCAGCCAAGUCGCGUGAGGGAAGACUGCCCUAUGGGUUGUAAACCUCUUUUGUCAGGGAGCAACGCCGGCUACGUGUAGCCGGACUGAGAGUACCUGUAGCAAAAGCAUCGGCUAACUCCGUGCCAGCAGCCGCGGUAAUACGGAGGAUGCGAGCGUUAUCCGGAUUUAUUGGGUGUAAAGGGAGCGUAGACGGUUAUGUAAGUCUGUAGUGAAAGCCCGGGGCCCAACCCCGGGACUGCGUUGGAGACUGUGUAACUGGAGUACAGGAGGGGCAGGCGGAAUUCCUGGUGUAGCGGUGAAAGGCGUAGAUAUCAGGAGGAACACCGGCGGCGAAGGCGGCCUGCUGGACUGAAACUGACGUUGAGGCUCGAAAGCGUGGGGAGCAAACAGGAUUAGAUACCUUGUAGUC
rnacentral:rRNA from 1 species